CCUCACUUUGCCUCAUGGGUGGGCCGGCCCCAAAUAAAGAGCUACAUCAUCGGGACCUGCUGCUUCUGUGGAUGCUGGUACCCAAGAUGGUGGCCUCGCUUUGCCUCAUGGGUGGGACAGCCCUGAAUAAAGAGCUACAUCGGGGUCUGCUGCCCCUGUGGAUCCUGCCACCCGAGGCAGCGGCCUCACCUCGCCUCAUGGGUGGGCCGCCCUGUGAGAGAGGGAGGAGGGGAAGAGAGAGAGAGAUGCUGGUACGUACUGAACUCCAAAGCUACAGCAGCGCCCUGCAAAAUACAGGCAAGCAGGGCGCAUGAGCUUCCUCCCUUCCCAAUAAUGGAACAGAGGUAGCCAGCAGGUGCCGUGAUGCAGCAUCUCGGCCUCAGAGAGAGGCGGGGGAGCGCGAGAGCAAUUGCAGAGGGAGGGGGGGUGGUUAGGCACCAAAAUCCUGCAUGCGGGAUUUCCCCCGCUCUCUCACGCCUAUGCAGUUCCUGCCCUUCUCCCUUCCCCCUUGAGAUUUGCUGCAGAGACAAGCAAAUGAAGAAGAAAGGGAAGAGUAUUAGCUGACAUGCCCCCGGAUCCCAUGGAAAGCACCACAGAUUUCUUUGCUUACCAGCUCUUUUUAUUUUAAGUUGGCUUCAAACCUGUAAUUGUGUAGGUGUAUGUAUGUAUACAUAUACACACAUAAAUAUUCGUAUCCCUUCCGUCUCACCUUCCUUUCACCCAGUUUCUCUGGCACUGGUUUAUAAAUGCUGCUAUGUAGAAAUGAUGAGAAAGUUGCACCAGCAGGAGGAAUGGAUAUGUGCUGUUAGUAAAAAGAGAGGGAGUUGAACUGCAGGGAGGGACAGACACUUUCCUAUGUAUUAAUUUGUAUAAUGCCCUCUAUGCACAUGGUGCUUUGCAAAAAAACAGAUAUGAGAGGUACCAUACCCCUCUUUGCUAUCUGAAAUAGACCCAGGGAAAAGAGAGAGAAUGGGGGAAGGGGAAGAAUGUGUGGCUAUUUCAAUUUGGCUUAGAGUAAAUUAUAGGGACUAGAGGGAUUACCCAAAAGCUGUCCAGAAAAAGAAUGACGCUGGUAAGACUGUAAAAUAUUGUGUAGGGAGUAGAAACAAUUUAUUCUAGGGUACUGGUCAACAUACUGGUUCCACUCCCAGUGUAAAAGGUCAGAAAAGUUGGGUGAAGCUGUAAGCCAUGGGAUCUUUCGGAGGACGAAUGGGAUACAAAUCAAUGAAAAAUAAGAGUUAAGUUAGAUGAAAAGGUCUCUUGAACAUCUUUUCUCAUAUUGCUGUUGCUGUAGGAGAAGCGGCAUCUGCUGAAAUUCUAUGCAAUUAGAAAUGAUGAGGGAGCAAAGUGCUUUAUAAUACUUAGAUCACUUCUAGACAACCUACUUAUUAAGCAUUCCAUUCUGUUUUGUUUGCACAAAGUUUACAGGGACAUUAGACCAAAUCAGCUGUGUUCACACUCCUGCUUGCUGGUCACUUGCUUUGUUUCCAGUGCUGGGUUUUUAAUCUGUGUUGACAUGACAUUAGGCAAAAUGCAUAUGUAUCCUGUACUUGGGAAAAUCCCAGCUUGGAAGAAAGGCAGGAUAUAAAUACAUUAAAUAAAUAAAUAAAUAAAUAAAUUACUUUGUUUAGAAGAUGCUACCAUUUGAUGUGUUGUUUCUCAAACCAGCUUCACACCAAAUGGAGUCCUUAAGCCAUUCCUAAUUUGGCUCUAGCCAAGGUAUGAACACCUUGCAUGGGGUAAAACUAUCCCUUACCAGACAGUGCCCCCUGGUUGUGUACAAAGCUAGUGGAAAGUGUUGUGACGUGGGGUUUGUGAUUUCAGCUCUCCUGAUAUAACAUGCUGGAGACAGUUCUCUAGUAACACUUCUUUAUUUAAGCACAAGACUAAAGACUGGGGAGAGGCAAGCUACAUUUAUAGGGACAGGGAACUAGCAAGAAAGGAUACAUUUUGGAGGGAACAAUAUCAGGCAAUCACAGUCCUGCCUUUUGGAGGGAACCAAUAAGACAGAGGAUCCAAAUACAGCAGCUUAAAUGAACCAAUAGUAGCUGUACCCUCUAGAACCAAAAGGCAGUUACUUUACCCUAAUGCAAAUACAGACAAUAAUAAUACAGAUAUAAAAUCCUUUGACUCAAUACACAACAGAAAGAGCUAUGAAAUGUGGGGGGAACUCCUUUACUUCACUCUAAUGUAGUAAUCUCCUUCAUGGAUGGCAGAAAGUGAGGAGGAAUUAAAGAACCUCUUAAUGAGGGUGAAAGAGGAGAGCACAAAAUAUGGUCUCAACAUCAAAAAAAUUAAGAUCAUGGUGACCGGUCCCAUCACCUCCUGGCAAAUAGAAGGGAAGAAAUGGAGGCAGUGAGAGAUUUUACUUUCUUGGGCUUCAUGAUCACUGCAGAUGGUGACAGCAGCCACGAAAUUAAAAGACGCCUGCUUCUUGGGAGAAAAGCAAUGACAAACCUAAACAACAUCUUAAAAAGCAGAGACAUCACCUUGCCGACAAAGGUCUGUAUAGUUAAAGCUAUGGUUUUCCCAGUAGUGAUGAAUGGAAGUGAGAGCUGGACCAUCAAGAAGGCUGAUCGCCGAAGAAUUGAUGCUUUUGAAUUAUGGUGCUGGAGGAGACUCUUGAGAGUCCCAUGGACUGCAAGAAGAUCAAACCAAUCCAUUCAUAAGGAAUUCAUCUCUGAAUGCUCACUGGAAGGGCAGAUCCUGAAGCUGAGGCUCCAAUACUUUGGCCACCUCAUGAGAAGAGAAGACUCCCUGGAAAAGACCCUAAUGUUGGGUAAGAUUGAGGACAGAAGGAGAAGGGGACGACAGAGGACAAGAUGGUUGGGCAGUGUUCUCGAAGCUACCAGCAUGAGUUUGACCAAACUGCGGGAGGCAGUGGAAGACAGAAGUGCCUGGCGUGCUCUGGUCCAUGGGGUCACAAAGAGUCGGACACGACUAAACGACUAAACAACAACAAAGGUGGUAAUGCGAACAUAAGCUAUGUAUUGAGCAAGAAGCUGAGCGAGGGCCAUCUUAAGCAUAUCCAGCACCAUGGUGCAAAGCUCCCUCUGGUGCCCCCCCCCAUUUUCCCAGAGUUUUUUAGGGAGGACAGUGCUGCCGGUGGGGCUGAAGGAGGCGGGCAGCGGCUGGAGGAUGGCUCCCCCGGUGGGGAAGAGGCGGAGGCUGGACGCGGCGCCUCCCGGCUCAGCUGGUGGCUUCGUGCAGAUGGCAGAUGGAGGCUCCGGGUGCGACGCUGCUUUGGCAUGGCAGAGGCGGGCAAGAGUGGCGAGCUGAUGCCGGGAGGCGCCGCGUCCAGCCUCUGCCUCUUCCCUAGCGCCCUCCAGAACUUGGUGCCCCACACCCCUAGCCUCUAUGGGUAAGAUGCCCCUGUAUUGAGCAUUUGUUUGCAGGGAGGUUAGACAAUAUUACAUCAAGCAAAUGUUUCCUUGUCACAAAAUGUCCAAUGGGGGGAUUAUGGGAUUGUUGUGGAGCAACUCCAGAUCACCCUGCAUUUGCUGGUAUGUGAUUGAAUCCCACCCCAAAAUAGUAACAGCCUGCAAGUGCCCUUAAUGUUCAUUCUUCCUACAAACUGCACAGGUAGGCGAGGAUGCUCCCUGUUUACAGACAGGGAAACUGAAGCGCAGAAUGUAUACCUUGCCCAGCAUUCCACAAUGAAUCUAUGAGAGGUGGAUCUUGAACCCAAAGAGAUCCAGGUUUCCCUCUUUCUGAAGAUUGAACAACAGAACAGAUGAAAGCUGUGGAAUUCUUGUGCCUUUUAUUCCCACACUAAACACCAGCCUUUACUGACACAAUUAAUGACUAGCACAUUUCCUAAAUUCCACACAGCUUGGUAAUCUUGCAUGAAAUGAGUUUAAAGAUUAUAUUAAUCAGUAUGUAACAAGAGGGGGUGGGAGAAAGAGAGAAGGUCAUAUGUGGGCAUACAAAGUCAUGUGUCCCAUCACCAUCCACCACCCCUCAUCCCACCUUUGUGUUAGACUUCCAAUCUACUCAAUUGCAAUUUCUUUCCACUUCUAUUACUUUCUUUCACACACCUUUAACCUAAUUUCAUGCUUCUUUUUCUAUUACACAUUGUUAUCCAUCUUAUUUAGUAUUUCAGUAUUUAAAACUGAACUUGUUUACUCUAAUAGGAGUUCUGAUUUUUCAAUAUGGUUUUGCAAGUAUCCUUUAAACACCUUCCAGUCCCUGUCUAUCUUCUCUUUUGAGAUCCUUCCAAUUUCUCCCAUUGUUUUGGAUAUAUUGUAAUACUCCAAUAAUUUGGCAAGCCACUCUGUUUUUGUUGGCAUAAUACCACUUUUCCAGUUUUUCGCAAUCAAUAGCCUUGCGGCUACUGUUACGUAUAAAUAUAAUGUAUUGUCUUCUUCCUUUAGACUUCCUGGUACUAUUCCUAAUAAAAAACCUUCUGGUGUUUUCCUAAAUGAAUAUCUGAUUUUUUUUUUCAUUUCGUUAUAUAUUGUUUCCCAAAAUUGUUUGAUGUUUAAACAAUUCCACCAUAUAUGCAUCAUAGUACCUUUUCCAGUGUUGCAUCGCCAGCAGACAUCGCUACAAUUUUUAUUCAUUUUUGCUAUUCUUUCAGGUGUUAAAUACCAUCUAUGUUGUAUUUUGAGGUAAUUUUCAAUAUAUAACACAUAGUGAAUUUCAUAUCUUCUUUCCACAAUUUUCCCCAUUGUUCAAACAUAAUAUUCUUCCCAAUAUCUUGUGUCCAUUUAAUCAUGGAUGCUUUAACCAGUUCAUCCUUUGUUUCCCACUCUAAGAUCAGAUUAUACAGUUUAAAUAUAUUUUUUUAUUUUUCUUGUAUUAAGUAUUUAUGGAAUUUUGAUAUUUCUUUUUCAAAUCCUAACUUUUUGUCUUUCGCUAAUCUAUACUUAAUUUCAAUAUAUUGGAACCAGUCACUAAUAUGAGCGUAAAAUUUCUGUAUAAUCCUUUAAUUCCAAUUCUCCGUUUUCUUCCUCUAAUACAAUUUUAUAAGUAGCCCAAUUUUCUUUCAUAUUUAAUUUUUUCACUGCGACAAUUUUUGCCGGCGAUGGGAAAAGGAAUUAUCUGUGGGAUUGAGUGUAGGUAUGUUUGAACAUUUUUAAGGAUUGUAUGAAAGGUAUGUUUGUAUGCUUGUAUAUUCGCAAUAUGUGUGCAUUAAUGCUGAAUUAUUUUAAUAAUAAAAACUUUUCAAAACAAAAAAACAAAGCCAUGUGUCUACUGGUAUAUGUUACAGUAUUCAACCUUUGGAGUUCCCUUCAUACUUACUGGCAUGAAUUGCAUCCAACUACAUUUCCAAGUGAUACCUCCUUGUACAGUUUGCUCAUGCUUGAGAUCUGGGCUAAUCACCUUGUUUUAGGUCAAGAAUGUCCAGUGGCCCUGGAGGCAAGGAGCCAUGUGUCCUUGUAGCGUAUGGCUUGGUUUGAUUAGUGGAGUAACCAUUAGCUGUGUGAUCAGCUAGGUUCUACUUCUUGUACACACGUAACAUCCACAUUUUACAGAUGGAGCUGAAGAUGAUCCUGCCUUUUGGGCAAAGAGUUGGACUAGAUACCCCUUUGUUCCCCUUCUACUUUGUGUUAGGAGGCCUUUGGGAGAAUAUUGCUGGACCGUGCUGCAUUCAAGCUGUAUGCAGCUAUUCUAGUCUUCAUUGCUAUGCAGAAAAUCCUCAAAGCAUGUGGCACAAAUAUCUCCUAAAGGCUCACGAGCCAGAAAUAAAAGCACCCCAAAACUUUGGUUAUGGAAACAAGUAUUUCAUUAGUGUGUGUUUACAUGUGAGAUGAGUUAUAUGCCACAAAUAUGAAUCUGCUCAGCAGACCUCAACAGGUAUGGCUCCAUCAAAGGUGCCAACUGAGCGCAGGAAUGUUAACUCAGUUCCAUAUAGUUCCUUUGAAGUAUUCCUCAGUCUUCGUACAGCAGCCCAGCUCAUUCUCAGAAACAGCUACCAAUGUAAUGAAUAUUUUAAAAGAUCAAUUUAGCUUCAAAGAAACACUGCAAGCAACCUCUUUUUGUGCUCAUUCUAUGGCUACAGAUAUCAGGAAACAUGUAGGUACUGCCUCCUUUGGAGAGAAAAAAUAGAGUAAACACUUCUAUAGCAUCUGAAAAUAGAUAUUCCUGGCUCGGGGUGGAUUUCAUUAUAUGGGUGGCAUAAUAAUUCUCUACUAUCCUCACAGGGCCAUCCAGCAAAACUUUUUACAAAUAGUACAUUGGCUUUCCCAGUUUGGCCAACAAGAUAAUACUGUAAGCCCCUUGAAAGCCCAAUAUUGUUUGCUUGUAAAACAUUUCAAGGAUAUAUAGGAAAAAAAUGCUUGCAUCCAUUAUGAUUUGGAGUCUGCUUUGUUGGUACGUUUUAGUGACUACAUCCUCUGAGCAUCAUCUAGUAUAGCUGUCAACUUACAGAUUUGAAAAUAAGGGACCAGCAGCCUUGAAAAUAAGGGACCAGCAGCCAAAAUAAGGGACCUGCAGCCUCACCUGUUCCAGGCACUCCAGUCUUCCUGUCCUCCUGCAGUCUGGUCAAACUCAUGCUGGUAGCUUCGAGAACACUGUCCAACCAACUUUGUAACCAGAGGUUCAACUGAAGAGAAUCUGCAGCACAUGCCCCACAAGGCCUCUGCAGCCUCAACUAAGAUGGCUCCCAGCCUGGCUUUGCACUACAGAGUUUGCAGCAGCACGUGCAACAAAAUGGCGUCCAGCAUUCAAAAUCCCCCUCAGCUUGCCUUAACUAGCCACACCCACGGCAUGGAAGCUCCACCCCCCAGUCGGUCUUAGACUUCUUAUAGGGUGAGCAACACAGCCAAGCAACACAGUUGGAGCCUCCCUCCUCCCUGGCUGGCAGGGAGGGAGGAAGAGGAGCUGCUUCCUUUGAAAUUUAAGGGACAUCAUUUAAGGGACAUUUAAGGGACAUCCAUCAAUAAGGGACAGCAGCGGGACAUGGCGCUGGAAUAAGGGACUGUCCCUUCAAAUAAGGGACACUUGACAGCUAUGUCAUCUAGUCCUGUGUUGUCUGCUUUGUUGGUACAUUUUAGUGACUACACCCUGAGCAUCAUCUAGUCCUGUGUUGUGGGAUGUUUCGUUGUUUAUAAUGAGGAAUGUGGACAAGACAUUUAGAGAAGUGUAGCCUACCACCUGCCUGCUUGAUCCCUGCCCUUCCUGGCUCAUAAAAUCAAGCAUCAAAUAUAUAAUUGGCUGAGCUGGGAAGUGAUAAUAUCCCUCUGCAAACAGGGAUGGUGCCUGCCAACCAUCUUAAAAGAAGCAGUCAAAAAGCCAUUCCCAGAGAUUAUGCCCUUUAUAGAUAACCAUGUUUAAGCAGCUGGUUACUGGAUAAUUCCUGAUUCUCUUGGAUGCUCAUUUUCUGAAUUUAUUCUGGUUUGGGGUCAGGAUUUGGCAGUAAAACAGCUUUGGUUCCCCUGGUGGAUGACUUACAAUGGGAGAAUGACGUUCUAGAUCAGAGAUAAUGAGGUCUCAAGGUGCCAGACUGCUUUAUUAUGCCCACCAUGUUUCAGAAUGAAGAAAUUCCUUCAACAAGGGCAACACUUCUCACCAGUAACCUGCAAAUAUAAACUUCUGUAGCUUUGUUGUUUGCUGAAUUCACUGGUAAGUGUUUCCCCCGAUGAGGGAACUUCUUAAUUCUGAAAUGCUUCAAGCACAUUAAUUUUGGGGGCACUUUGCAAACUUGUUCUCUUUUUGGCUUUUUCUGCAUCCAGUGCAAUUCCCCUCCCCCUUUUUGGUGGCACUGUGGGUUAAACCACAGAGCCUAGGGCUUGCCAAUCAGAAGGUUGGCGGUUCAAAUCCCCGCGAUGGGGUGAGCUCCCGUUGCUCAGUCCUGGCUCCUGCCAACCUAGCAGUUCGAAAGCACGUCAAAUUGCAAGUAGAUAAAUAGGUACCGCUCCGGCGGGAAGGUAAACGGCGUUUCCGUGCGCUGCUCUGGUUCGCCAGAAGCGGCUUAGUCAUGCUGGCCACAUGACCCGGAAGCUGUACGCCGGCUCCCUCGGCCAAUAAAGCGAGAUGAGUGCCGCAACCCCAGAGUCGGCCACGACUGGACCUAAUGGUCAGGGGUCCCUUUACCUUUACCUUUAGGCUUUCAAUACCAUGUGAAGCAGCUAUCUGGGAUAGGGAUUAAGUGCAUAGUAUUCCUUUCCUGUCUCAGUGGCUUUUUCCAGAAGGUAGUGCUAUCCAACUUCUACUGUGCUGUGACUGGUUAGCUAUAUGAUAUUCUGCAUCUUUGUUUCUGUCCUCCAUGCUGUUUAAAAUCUAUAUGGCAUUUUAGGUGUGAUUACAUUUGUUAUGUACUGAGUUGAAUAGGAUCCAAAAUGCAGCAGUCUGAUUGGUCCUAGAACAAUAGGAUUCAGAAUGCAGCUGUGCUGGUCCCGAGGGCUAACUGAGAGGCGAGGCCCGAGUCCAGUCCGAGGUCGAAGGUGCAGUAUGGAGGCAGUCCAUUAAGUUGAAGCCGGAUGCAGGGCAGGUAGUCGGGUGAUGUCAGGAGCUCCAGCAGGAUAGCAGGACAGGGUCCAGGCAGGAACUGACAACCAACGAAGUUGCUCCUGCAACUUGGGGCUGAGGCUGGCUGGCUGGCUGGCUUUUAUCUGCCCCGAGGCAUAGGGUGGCCCUGAUCCUCAGGUGACUCGCCUCUCCUGGCCUGGAGGUGAGCACUCCUCCUGCAGGAACUUAGUUCCCUCCGACUCUCUGCCCUGAGCCUCUGCAGCUCAGGAGAAGCUGGAGGGUUACUGGACCCAGAGGCAACCUCAGCUUCCCCUGACAGGGCUGAGAGUGGAGCACCUGCAGGCAAUGGGUCCUCCACCCCCUCAGGAGCCAGAGCAGACUCAGCUGGUGCCUGCACCUGAGGAACCAGCACACAUGAGGACCCUUCAGGCUCAUGCCCCAGCCCCGGCUCAGCUGGUUCUGGAGGCAGGGAAUCCUGUGCAGGCUGGGAUCCCUCAGGUUCAGCAUCUGAAUCCGAAUCCCAGGCCAUCACAGUAGCAGUCUGAUUGGUCCUAGAACAAUAGGAUUCAGAUUGCAGCAGUCUGAUUGGUCCUAGAACAAUAGGAUCCAGAAUGCAACAGUCUGAUUGGUCCACAGGAGCCACCCAAUCCAGCUCCAGGUGGAAGUGAAUCCGCAACAUGAUUGACCUACAGGAGAAUCCCGGAAUUAGCCAAUCAUGUGGGGCCCAUUGUGUAAAUAAUGUAUAUAAAGCAGACAUUCUGGGGGAACUUCCAUUUCCUCCUCACCGCUAUGAGCUGAAUAAAGAGCAUGAAAUCCACUCUCAACUCCGAGUAUAUUUCAACAUUAGUACAUUGUUAACACCCAAGACUACUACUCUUUUUGUAUGUCAGACUCAGGAGAUUCUGUGGAAAUACUAUGAUUGGAAUUGAACUAGAUGGUUGACAGUGAGCUACAGCUCAAUCCUGAGAAGGCAGAGAUGCUGAUGGCAGGUGCUUGGACUUUGUCUGUUUUGGUUGGAGCUGCAAUCUCCCUGAGGAAGCAGCUUUACACUCUGGGGCUGCUAUUCAAUCCAGGCCUAUAUUUGGAAGCCCAAGUGACUUUGGUAGCACGUCACAUCUCCCAGCUGCUAAAGCUGGUACACCAGCUGCAUCCUCUCCUAGACAAAGAUUGUUUGGCCAGAGUUAGGCAUGCUGUAGUAAUGUUUCCUUCCAGGAACAUUACUGUGUGAGGGUGCCCUUCAAGCGCCCUUUUUUUGGAAACUCAAGUUAGUACAAAAUUCAGCAGCAAAACUGCUUACUGGAACUGUAAGGCAUCUUGUAAAUCGUAAAAAAACAACUUUACUGUCUUCUGGUCUGUUUCCAGAUCUAGGUCAAGGUUCCACUUUUAAUCUUUGAAGCCCCAAAUAGCUUGGGACUAAAGUAUCACAAAGAUAGUCACAAAGAUAAAGUAAUCACAAAGUUACAUAUUCUCCCACUUUAAGGUUGCCACGUGUCCUAUUUUACACUGGAUGGUGCAGUAUUUGAAGUGUCGUCUGGGAUGGUGGCCAGCUUCUCUGUCCAGUUAAAUCAGCCAGGAUGACUUCCUUUGAUGAAGAUCCCAAAAAACAUAACAAAAAACACUCCAGAUCUUUUGCAUCUCCAGAGAAGCAACAAUCAACCCAUCUGUAUCAGAGGACCAAGAAGAACUAAUGGACAAGGUGUUUGGGAUAUCAAGGAGGCAAUGGGAACAGGAGAUGGGGAAUAAACCAAGCCUUCACAAAACAAAUUGUUUGCUUGAUCAUCUCUAGGCUAACCCAUCAACUCAUGGUUUGUUUGACAAACCAUGGGUUAGCAAGCAUUAGAAAUUAUUCUGGCAGCAGCAUUUUGCACCGGCUGUAGUUUCCAAACAUCUUUAAAGUGCAGCCCCACGUGCUCUGAAUAUGAGUAUAUUAUUGGUACUAUAUAAUGUAACUUGAUAUGACUAAGGCAGGUGUGACUGACUAGUUCCACUUUCUCCAGGUAAGGAUGCAGCUGGCACACAAAUGUAGCCUCGACAGCCCCCCGUUGAGUAAAGACAGAUCCUGGAGCACUUCCAAAUUGAAAACUUAGUCUUGAAAACUGUGUGCAGCCCCAUCCAAAACAGGUUGUACUUCCAAUCUCAGGUGAGCAUUUCCACUAACCAAUAGUUCUUCUGCCUUGUCUGGAUUAAGCCACAGUUUUGUUCUCCUACAUCCCAAACUCCUAAGGCAGGAGAGGUGUUGCAGUCUAGAAAGCAG
rnacentral:lncRNA from 1 species